ACGUCAUAUGGGACAAUCCUUAAAUGCCCCUCCUUUAAGAAGGCAGACUGGAGCGUGAUGGUUAGGGUUGCCUUGAUCCGUGACUAUGACUGUCUAAUCAGGGCUUGGAACACCUUGACUGCUCUUACCUGGU